AUUGAACGCUGGCGGCAUGCCUUACACAUGCAAGUCGAACGGUAACAGGUCUUCGGAUGCUGACGAGUGGCGAACGGGUGAGUAAUACAUCGGAACGUGCCCGAGAGUGGGGGAUAACGAGGCGAAAGCUUUGCUAAUACCGCAUACGAUCUCAGGAUGAAAGCAGGGGACCGCAAGGCCUUGCGCUCACGGAGCGGCCGAUGGCAGAUUAGGUAGUUGGUGGGAUAAAAGCUUACCAAGCCGACGAUCUGUAGCUGGUCUGAGAGGACGACCAGGCACACUGGGACUGAGACACGGCCCAGACUCCGACGGGAGGCAGCAGUGGGGAAUUUUGGACAAUGGGCGCAAGCCUGAUCCAGCCAUGCCGCGUGCAGGAUGAAGGCCUUCGGGUUGUAAACUGCUUUUGUACGGAACGAAAAGACUCUGGUUAAUACCUGGGGUCCAUGACGGUACCGUAAGAAUAAGCACCGGCUAACUACGUGCCAGCAGCCGCCGUAAAAC
rnacentral:rRNA from 1 species